AUCAACGCUGGCGGCGUGCCUAACACAUGCAAGUCGAACGCGAAAGGGGAGCAAUCCCUGAGUAGAGUGGCAAACGGGUGAGUAACACGUGGGUGACCUGCCUUCGAGCGGGGGAUAACGUCCCGAAAGGGACGCUAAUACCGCAUAACAUCCUGGUCUUGGACGACCGGUGAUCAAAGCUGGGGAUUCGCAAGAACCUGGCACUUGAAGAGGGGCCCGCGCCUGAUUAGCUAGUUGGUGAGGUAACGGCUCACCAAGGCUACGAUCAGUAUCCGGCCUGAGAGGGCGGACGGACACACUGGGACUGAGACACGGCCCAGACUCCUACGGGAGGCAGCAGUGGGGAAUUGUUCGCAAUGGGCGCAAGCCUGACGACGCAACGCCGCGUGGAGGAUGAAGACCUUCGGGUCGUAAACUCCUGUCGAGCGGGAAGAAUAGCUUUCGGCGAAUAU
rnacentral:rRNA from 1 species